UUUUGCUUAAACUCUUACAGCUGGUUCCUCUUGUAAGCUGAACAGGAACCUGCCUUGCUCCGCAGCUGACAGCAUGGCAGAGUGCAUCUGCCCUCAGCUGAGGAGACUGCUCUCAUUGGUCUGAGUCUGGCUUGUCCUCCUGCUUGCAUACUGGGCAGCCAUUUCCUAGAGGUCAGCUCUUUCCAAUAGUCGUAGAAACAAUGUCCAUCCUCCUCUGGCAGUAAGGGAAAUCCUGCUGCUACCGCUGACCUGAUAAUAGUUCCACUCUCAUAUCCCUUUUGAAUUCCCCUCUUACGCAGUCUGUUUGCUGUGGACAUCAAGUUGGGUUCCAUAUAUAAUUAAGAAGCUUCCAGUUGGAUGUACUAAUUUAGACCACAAGUUUGCUGCUAAAAUGAAAUUUUUAAUUCUAUAGUACUACUUUCUCAAGUGUUACAAGUGCUCUCCUUCAUGCGUACAUCUAAGGAUCCGUGUAACAUGGUGUCUGUUUUUCUCCUUUCAAAAAAUGAGAAUGAUCAAGAUGAAAAAAUGAAAAAAGAGUGA
rnacentral:lncRNA from 1 species